rnacentral:rRNA from 1 species
AUUGAACGCUGGCGGCAGGCCUAACACAUGCAAGUCGAGCGGGGUUUUCGGACCUAGCGGCGGACGGGUGAGUAAUGCGUAGGAAGCUACCCGAUAGAGGGGGAUACCAGUUGGAAACGACUGUUAAUACCGCAUAAUGUCCACGGACCAAAGCGUGGGACCUUCGGGCCACAUGCUAUCGGAUGCGCCUACGUGGGAUUAGCUAGUUGGUGGGGUAAUGGCUCACCAAGGCGACGAUCCCUAGCUGGUUUGAGAGGAUGAUCAGCCACACUGGAACUGAGACACGGUCCAGACUCCUACGGGAGGCAGCAGUGGGGAAUAUUGGACAAUGGGCGCAAGCCUGAUCCAGCCAUGCCGCGUGUGUGAAGAAGGCCUUCGGGUUGUAAAGCACUUUCAGUAGGGAGGAAGGAUGUUGUGUUAAUAGCACAGCAUUUUGACGUUACCUACAGAAGAAGCACCGGCUAACUCUGUGCCAGCCGCCGCCGUAACAC